UGUAACCCAAAAUAACCUCGCAAGAUGAAGGUGUGAUAAAAGAAAAGUGUGUAGAGACUAAAAUAGCUCUGCAACAAUAAUCAAUCCAAAAGGCAAGUAUCCUCCAAAAUCUUUCCUGCAUAAAAUGAAAAGAAGAAGAAGAAAAAUUGAAAAUCAUGAUAGCAUAGGGUCUCCAAUCUAUGGCUAUGUCUUUUCCAAUAUAAGGUCCUAUUCUUUAGAUCAUUCUGGCAAAACCCGAUAACUUUUCCGGCAUAACCUGAUGACUUUUCUGGCAUAGCCUGAUGGCUCUUCCGUCAUAAUCCGUUGACUCUUCUGUCAUAUCCCAAUGACUCCUCCAACAUAACUGAUGACUCUUCCAGCAUAACUCGGUGAUUCUUCCGGCGUUACCCGAUGACUCUUCCGGCAUAACCCGAUGACCCUUCCGGCAUAAAUUUAUGACUUUUCCGACAUAACCUGAUGACUUUUCCAACAUAGGAUCCCACUCCCUAGUUGAUGCCAACAUAACCUGGUAAUCUUUUCCAGCAUAGGGUCCCACUCCCUAGUUGAUGCCAGCAUAACCUGGUAAUCUUUUCCCAACAUAGGGUCAAACUCCUUAGUUGAUGCCAGCAUAACCUGGUAAUCUUUGCAACAUAGGUCAUCCAGUCGCAUGUUGAUUUGAAUUUAGAUAUAGGGCCCCAACGGCCUAAUCUUCUUUUCCCAAGAAUACCCAAUCCUGAUUUUAUUACUUUCAAUAAAGAAGUAGUUUAGAUUUUUGUUAUAACAACUCACGAAAUUUUCCUAGUGAAAUUAAAAGAAUCUUAAUUUUGGGAAUUUGUAGAAGUAAUUUAUGCGAGGCAAAAAUCACGUGCUCACAUACAACAGUCAAAUAAGGCAAGAACAACCAAUUAAGGUCAUAAACAUGGGAAAAUAAAGAAUCAUGCACACAAAAUUUUGACUGAAGAAAUCACUCAACAAUUCUGGAAACAACAUAUCAAUUUUCAUAAACUAAAUAGGUUGAAUAAAAGUUUUAGGAACGCAAAGAGUUUAGAUGGAAAAUAAUUCAAAACCCUAAUUUGAAAACACUUAAAGAAGGAAAAUAGCCAUGGAAAACUUGAAAGCACAUUAAAAUACAGAUGAUUGAAAAAAACAGAAAUCAUAAAAAUCAAAACCUGAAGUAGUGUAGUGUUUACAAAUUGGUCAGUAAUGCAGUAGUAAAAGAACCUAGCAGAAUAGGCAUGUAAGUUUGAAAAUACUUCAGAUACCUAGAGGUUCGACCAACAAACAACAGAAAAAUUAUACCUAAUAUAAUAAAAUUUUAAAAAAACGAUUAAUCAAUAGAGAAAUAAAAGAGCCUUAAUGAAAAAGUAAUGAUGAACUCGAAUCACUCCAGAUCUACACGGAUCUGGACAGAUUCAGGUCCAAAUGCUAAGUUUCAAAGAAAAAGAGAGGGUAAAGAGAAUCUGAUCCUUGAAUCAAAGAUUUGAGCCGUGAAACUUUGAUAGAAAGCACUCACAAACCAUAUACAAGCUCUUUGAAGAUUUUUUAAUGAGAUCUAGACCAGAUCUCUUCGAGGUCCUUCAAUGAAACCACACAAUCGAGCAACCGGGUAAAAUAGGAGACAAGUAGAGGCCUCGUACAGCCACGGGAAGCCAUAGAUCGAGUAGGAAUCAAGGGGAUUAAGGCUGACUUUAGAUGGCGGCGGAUAGGGUUAGGUUUAGAUUCAGUGGGAAUUAGAGAGGAGAGGGUUUGAGAGUGGUUGUUUGAUGAGAAUGGUAAGGUUUGGGAGGGGGG
rnacentral:lncRNA from 1 species